AGAGUUUGAUCCUGGCUCAGGAUGAACGCUAGCGGCAGGCCUAACACAUGCAAGUCGAGGGGCAGCGGGAGUGCUUGCACUCGCCGGCGACCGGCGCACGGGUGCGGAACGCGUAUCGAAUCUGCCUCUAUCUGGGGGAUACCCCAUGGAAACGUGGAAUAAUACCCCAUAGUAUUACUUUAUCGCCUGAUUUAGUAAUUAAAGAAUUUCGGAAAGAGAUGACGAUGCGUAUCAUUAGCUAGUAGGUAAGGUAACGGCUUACCUAGGCAACGAUGAUUAGGGGUCCUGAGAGGGAGAUCCCCCACACUGGUACUGAGACACGGACCAGACUCCUACGGGAGGCAGCAGUGAGGAAUAUUGGACAAUGGACGAAAGUCUGAUCCAGCCAUGCCGCGUGCAGGAUGACGGCCCUAUGGGUUGUAAACUGCUUUUAUACAGGAAGAAAAAAUCCGACGUGUCGGAUCUUGACGGUACUGUAAGAAUAAGGAUCGGCUAACUCCGUGCCAGCAGCCGCGGUAAUACGGAGGAUCCAAGCGUUAUCCGGAAUCAUUGGGUUUAAAGGGUCCGUAGGUGGACAAAUAAGUCAGAGGUGAAAUCCUGCAGCUCAACUGUAGAACUGCCUUUGAUACUGUUUGUCUUGAGUUAUUAUGAAGUGGUUAGAAUGUGUAGUGUAGCGGUGAAAUGCAUAGAUAUUACACAGAAUACCGAUUGCGAAGGCAGAUCACUAAUAAUCAACUGACACUGAUGGACGAAAGCGUGGGUAGCGAACAGGAUUAGAUACCCUGGUAGUCCACGCCGUAAACGAUG
rnacentral:rRNA from 1 species